rnacentral:rRNA from 1 species
GACGAACGCUGGCGGCGUGCCUAAUACAUGCAAGUAGAACGCUGAAGGAGGAGCUUGCUUCUCUGGAUGAGUUGCGAACGGGUGAGUAACGCGUAGGUAACCUGCCUGGUAGCGGGGGAUAACUAUUGGAAACGAUAGCUAAUACCGCAUAAUGGUAGAUGUUGCAUGACAUUUGCUUAAAAGGUGCAAUUGCAUCACUACCAGAUGGACCUGCGUUGUAUUAGCUAGUUGGUGGGGUAACGGCUCACCAAGGCGACGAUACAUAGCCGACCUGAGAGGGUGAUCGGCCACACUGGGACUGAGACACGGCCCAGACUCCUACGGGAGGCAGCAGUAGGGAAUCUUCGGCAAUGGACGGAAGUCUGACCGAGCAACGCCGCGUGAGUGAAGAAGGUUUUCGGAUCGUAAAGCUCUGUUGUAAGAGAAGAACGAGUGUGAGAGUGGAAAGUUCACACUGUGACGGUAUCUUACCAGAAAGGGACGGCUAACUACGUG